UACGAACCGUGCGAACGUUGUUCGGAUUCACUGGGCUUAAAGGGCGCGUAGGCGGGUGAUCAAGUCCGGGGUGAAAUCCUUCAGCUCAACUGGAGAAUUGCCUUGGAUACUGGUCGCCUCGAGGGAGGUAGGGGCGGGCGGAACUUCCGGUGGAGCGGUGAAAUGCGUAGAUAUCGGGAGGAACACCAGUGGCGAAGGCGACUUCCUGGCCUGUUCUUGACGCUGAGGCGCGAAAGCUAGGGUAGCAAACGGG
rnacentral:rRNA from 1 species